rnacentral:rRNA from 1 species
GGUUGAUCCUGCCAGUAUUAUAUGCUUGUCUCAAAGAUUAAGCCAUGCAUGUCUAAGUAUAAAUAUUGUACAGUGAAACUGCGUACAGCUCAUUACGACAGCAAUAAUUUAUUUGAUGGUGACUUACUACAUGGAUAACUGUGGUAAUUCUAGAGCUAAUACAUGCGUCUAGUCGCAACCUUUCAGGAAGCGAUGUAUUUAUUAGAUAAAAAACCAUACCCGUCUUCGGGCGGAGCAUUGGCGAGUCAUAAUAACUAUCGGAGCCCUUCGGGGCCACUUCAUUCAAAUUU